GUGGUCCGAGCCACCGAACUUCUGCGAGAACUUGCUGGCGUUGGGGUUGGAAGAGGCUUGUCGAGGUUUAGAGCUACAAAGAAAAUUAACAGACAGUGGGCCCAAUCCGCCGUUGGAGGAAUGUCAUGUUGGAGGAACAGAAGUUAAAAAAAGCUCUCAUCUCGCCGGGUUUAUCAGUCAACAGUGACGGCACACAAAGUCAGAUGUGUUGUGUUGCUAUUUUUGGGAGGUGAAAGUGAAGUGAACGUUGGAGGGAAGAUGAACUCUUAGCAGGUGGGAUGAGUUUAGAGCUUCCCUGUGGAAUAAUGGAUCAGUCUUACGGACUCUAACGAGCUGGGAGGAUUUGAGUUUGUGCAGAGAACAGAAGCAUUCAUGUCCUAAACCCCAUAAUAUAACCUUAAUAUAACCAUGACCUU